AGUUUGAUCAUGGCUCAGAUUGAACGCUGGCGGCAUGCUUUACACAUGCAAGUCGAGCGGCAGCGCGGGGGCAACCCUGGCGGCGAGCGGCGAACGGGUGAGUAAUGCAUCGGAACGUACCCUGGAGUGGGGGAUAACGCCGCGAAAGCGGCGCUAAUACCGCAUAUGCUCUGAGGAGGAAAGUGGGGGACCGCAAGGCCUCACGCUCUGGGAGCGGCCGAUGUCCGAUUAGCUAGUUGGUGGGGUAAAGGCCUACCAAGGCGACGAUCUGUAGCGGGUCUGAGAGGAUGAUCCGCCACACUGGGACUGAGACACGGCCCAGACUCCUACGGGAGGCAGCAGUGGGGAAUAUUGGACAAUGGGCGGAAGCCUGAUCCAGCCAUGCCGCGUGUGUGAAGAAGGCCUUCGGGUUGUAAAGCUCUUUCGGCCGGGAAGAAAUCGCAUGGGUUAAUACCCUGUGUGGAUGACGGUGCCGGAAUAAGAAGCACCGGCUAACUACGUG
rnacentral:rRNA from 1 species